rnacentral:lncRNA from 1 species
UUUGCUCUCUCUCUCUCAAAAUCAACACAAUUUUUUUAUUCCAAACCCCUUUUCUUGUUCAACCUCAUAUUCUUACUUUCCCCUAAAUACUAAUAAUUAUACUAAUAACCAUGUAAUAAAAAAUAAAAUCAGUCAACAAUUUUAAAAAUAAAAAAAUAAUAAUAAAACAAAAACAUAACAUAAAAGUUAGGUAAACAUCAAAACAUGAUAAAAUUUAC